rnacentral:rRNA from 1 species
UAAUACGUAGGUGGCGAGCGUUGUCCGGAUUUACUGGGCGUAAAGAGGGCGUAGGCGGUUCUUCAAGUCAGAUGUAAAAUCUCCCGGCUUAACUGGGAGGGGUCAUUUGAUACUGUUGGGCUAGAGGGCAGCAGGGGGAGGUGGAAUUCCCGGUGUAGUGGUGAAAUGCGUAGAUAUCGGGAGGAACACCAGUGGCGAAGGCGGCCUCCUGGGCUGUUGCUGACGCUGAGGCCCAAAAGCGUGGGGAGCAAACAGGAUUAGAUACCCUGGUAGUCCACGCCGUAAACUAUGGACACUAGGUAUGGGGAGUAUCGACCCCCUCUGUGCCGAAGCUAACGCUUUAAGUGUCCCGCCUGGGGACUACGGCCGCAAGGCUA